AAGAGGUAAACUACAUGGCUAAAUUAACGAAAGCUCCAUAGAGAGGACACUGUAAGGGUUUGGUUUUGUAUCAGCGAGCCGAAUAUUAAGGAGGAAGUUAAGCUAAAAAGCAGUUUUCGGAGGUUUUUGGUUUCGCCUCUAUAUCUUUUUGUUUCUACGCAGCAAUUAUGCUAACCAUAUGUUCUCUAUUCGUUCAACGUUGCAAACGAUCUAGCAAAUAAGCUCCAUUUUGUGUGGCAACACAGAGCAGAGGUCCUCUUGGCUCCUGUCCGCCACAUGAGGGGUUCUGGACCUAACGCUCCAUCAAACCCGCAAUAAAUCCAGGGUGAAAGGUGAGUUUUUAUGAUGGCUGAAAACUGUUAGAGAACACAUCCUGUUUCCAUGAUGUCAAGGCAGGAAGCAAGAGCCACCUACAGGUUGCUGAUGAUUUGGAGGAUGAAUCUGGCUCUCUGGCUUACUCUGCUUUUCCCUGAUGGAAAAUCUCUGAUGGCGGCAAGAUUCUUUGAAGCUGCUGUCAUUAUUUGAAGAGAGGAACAUGUCAGGAAGAGGAGCGGGAUAAGGUGCUCGAAAACUUCAUAUUUAUUAUUGUUACGCUACACUUCAAAAAGACAAAUUGACUUGAGGGAUAAUAAUAUAAUCUAGAAUGUGUUGAUCUGACUGUCCAAGAGUGAAAAGCAGAGGACAUAUAAUCAUCAACAGCCUGCCUGUGCAUGUUCACUGGCUGUUUGUCUCCUCCCUCAACAUUCUCGUCCAAUUCACCCCACUUCUCCCCAACCUUUGACCUCUGCAUGUCCACCCCUUCCCCCAGACACACACAGAGACAUGCUGCUCCUGACAUGCUGUUCUAACGCCAAGAGGCAGAAAUCCUUUCAUAAAUUUGUUUUGUUACAUGUAUGGAGAAAAAUGUUCUAUAUAGCAGUGAAGUAACUAAACACACAUUCUCUGCUUUCUCUGUAUUAUUAAUGAGACAACAGAGUAUAUUAACUUCAAGAUUCAAUCUUUUGGCAAAAAAAACCCCAAACCUUUGAUAGUUUCAAGUUUCUAAGUUUAAAGUACAUGUUACUCAUGAGUAUGGUAUUUUUUACUAUAUUUUCAAUGCAUUCUACUGCUAGCAGCUACUAGUAUAUAAGUGACGUUGAAUCUGACUGUACGAUUGGGUUGAACUGACUUGUUUUGUAAAGUGCCUUGAGACAAUAUUUGUUGUGAACUGGUGUUAUAUAAAUGAACUGAAUUGAACUGAACUAGCUGUAGAGACAAUAUGGAGAUUAUAGUCAAGUAUGUUGAACUUCAGCUCUCUCAAUAGCCUGAACCUUAGAAACCUACAACUCUUAGGACACUGCUUGGAAAUGAGCCUUGACAAAUGUACUUCUUAUCCAUAUCACAGCUACUUUAUCUUUCCAUGCAUUGUUCAUAUGCAUUCUGACCUUUAUCUGUGCUACAUUUCCCUUCCUAAUAAAGUUCUUUAGAAAUAUUUCUUCAACAGCAUGUGUGCAAUCACAGAUGCUUAAUGGUGAAAAAGCAGAAACCAAACCUGAACUGAGCUUUCAAGAGUAUGCAAUCUCUAUACAUUCCACUUUUGGUACUUUGAGGUUUGAAAAUAAUGUAAGUUCAUUGUAAUUUAUAGUUUCAAAUAAAGUUGUUUUAUUCAUA